AUGGAUAAAAGCAACCAGGAGUGGAACAACAGUCCCACUCACUUUGUGAUGCUACCCUGGAACCCCAUCACCAAGGGAACAAAACGGGUGUGGGAUGAUGCUCUCCCAACAGGCUUUCUCUUCUCUGAUACUUCUUGGAUCAACCCAGAAACAGAAGAAAGCUUUGAUGGCAGCGAGGUUUAUUCUGAGAAGGAGGAGAAUGUGAACUAUUCAGCCAUCUCCACAGGAUAUUUUCCAUAUUACAGAUCAAAUGAGGAGUACUUUGUCGAACCUCUCUUAUAUGACUUAAAUGAAGAAGGAGAGAAGCCUGAAAACAAAGAUGAAGGAGAAGGUGGAUGUGUGGAGCUUGGUGGAGAUGCUGAGAAGACCGCCCACCCAGCUCUGGGGACAGAGAGGAAGCUGUGUUCUUCCAUGGCCAAUGUAGAGCCAACAUCCCAGCAGCUCCCAGGAGGCAGCACCUUGGAAGGCUGCCUUCCAUCCUUCUCCCUCCCCACCACACCGCCAGGCCUGAACCGGCCCUUUUCUUCCAGUGGAUACUUCCCUUACUACAGAACAGAAGCAGAGCUCUGCAUCGGCCCAGCAAUGUGUGACAAGUUUCCCACCAGGACAGAAAAUUUGGAGAAUGAAGAGGGAAGAUGGGUAGAAGACAAAAACACUUGGUAUUCUGAUGCCAGCUGCUUGGUGUCCUGA
rnacentral:lncRNA from 1 species